rnacentral:rRNA from 1 species
GACGAACGCUGGCGGCGUGCCUAAUACAUGCAAGUAGAACGCAGUUGCGCACGGGUGAGUAACGCGUAGGUAACUGCCUCAUAGCGGGGUAUAACUAUUGGAAACGAUAGCUCAUCCCGCAUACUGUGAGAUGGACCUGCGUUGUAUUAGCUAGUUGGUUAGGUAAAGGCUCACCAAUGCGACGAUACAUAGCCGAACUGAGAGGGGGAUCGGCCACAAUGUGAGUGAGACCAGUCCCAGACGCAUACGGGAGGCAGCAGUAGGGAAUAUUCGGCAAUGGACGGAAGUCUGACCGGGCAACGCCGCGUGAGUGAAGAAGGUUUUCGGAACGUAAAGCUCUGUUGUUAGAGAAGCGGUAACUAACAAGAAAGGGACGGCUAACUACGUGCCAGCAGCCGCGGUAAUUC